rnacentral:rRNA from 1 species
UACGAAGGGGGCUAGCGUUGCUCGGAAUCACUGGGCGUAAGCGCACGUAGGCGGACUCUUAAGUCGGUGGUGAAAUCCUGGAGCUCAACUCCAGAACUGCCUUCGAUACUGGGAGUCUCGAGUUCGGGAGAGGGUGAGUGGAACUGCGAGUGUAGAGGUGAAAUUCGUAGAUAUUCGCAAGAACACCCAAUGGGCGAAGGCAGCUCUCUGGGACGGUACUGACGGCUGAGACGCGAAAAGCGUGGGGGAGCGAACAGGG